GACGAACGCUGGCGGCGUGCUUAACACAUGCAAGUCGAACGGAGCACCCUUGACUGAGGUUUCGGCCAAAUGAUAGGAAUGCUUAGUGGCGGACUGGUGAGUAACGCGUGAGGAACCCACCUUCCAGAGGGGGGCAACAGUUGGAAACGACUGCUAAUACCGCAUGACGCAUGACCGGGGCAUCCCGGGCAUGUCAAAGAUUUUAUCGCUGGAAGAUGGCCUCGCGUCUGAUUAGCUAGAUGGUGGGGUAACGGCCCACCAUGGCGACGAUCAGUAGCCGGACUGAGAGGUUGACCGGCCACAUUGGGACUGAGAUACGGCCCAGACUCCUACGGGAGGCAGCAGUGGGGAAUAUUGGGCAAUGGACGCAAGUCUGACCCAGCAACGCCGCGUGAAGGAAGAAGGCUUUCGGGUUGUAAACUUCUUU
rnacentral:rRNA from 1 species